rnacentral:rRNA from 1 species
UACGGAGGAUCCGAGCGUUAUCCGGAUUUAUUGGGUUUAAAGGGAGCGUAGGCCGGCUUUUAAGUCAGCUGUGAAAGUCCGCGGCUCAACCGUGGAAUUGCAGUUGAAACUGGAGGCCUUGAGUGCACACAGGGAUGCCGGAAUUCAUGGUGUAGCGGUGAAAUGCUUAGAUAUCGGGAGGAACACCAGUGGCGAAGGCGGUUUACUGGACCACAACUGACGCUGAGGCACGAAAGCGUGGGGAGCAAAUAGG